rnacentral:rRNA from 1 species
UCGCUAGCCAUGCGAGUCAUAUGUUCUUCGUGAACAUGGCGUACUGCUCAGUAACACGUGGAUAACCUGCCCUUGGGUCCGGCAUAACCCCGGGAAACUGGGGAUAAUUCCGGAUAACGCAUAUAUGCUGGAAUGCUUUCUGCGUAAAAUGGAUUCGUCUGCCCAAGGAUGGGUCUGCGGCCUAUCAGGUAGUAGUGGGUGUAAUGUACCUACUAGCCGACGACGGGUACGGGUUGUGAGAGCAAGAGCCCGGAGAUGGAUUCUGAGACAUGAAUCCAGGCCCUACGGGGCGCAGCAGGCGCGAAAACUUUACAAUGCGGGAAACCGUGAUAAGGGGACACCGAGUGCCAGCAUCAUAUGCUGGCUGUCCGGGUGUGUAAAAUACACCCGUUAGCAAGGGCCGGGCAAGACCGGUGCCAGCCGCCGCGGUAACACCGGCGGCCCGAGCGGUGAUCGUGAUUAUUGGGUCUAAAGGGUCCGUAGCCGGUUUGGUCAGUCCUCCGGGAAAUCUGAUAGCUCAACUAUUAGGCUUUCGGGGGAUACUGCCAGGCUUGGAACCGGGAGAGGUAAGAGGUACUACAGGGGUAGGAGUGAAAUCUUGUAAUCCCUGUGGGACCACCUGUGGCGAAGGCGUCUUACCAGAACGGGUUCGACGGUGAGGGACGAAAGCUGGGGGCACGAACCGGAUUAGAUACCCGGGUAGUCCCAGCCGUAAACGAUGCUCGCUAGGUGUCAGGCAUGGCGCGACCGUGUCUGGUGCCGCAGGGAAGCCGUGAAGCGAGCCACCUGGGAAGUACGGCCGCAAGGCUGAAACUUAAAGGAAUUGGCGGGGGAGCACAACAACGGGUGGAGCCUGCGGUUUAAUUGGACUCAACGCCGGACAACUCACCGGGGGCGACAGCAAUAUGUAGGCCAAGCUGAAGACUUUGCCUGAAUC